GAAUCAGAGGAGCAAAUGAUGCAGCAGUAUCCGUAUCUCUUCGGAUGACAUGUAUAUUAAUUUCGAGGACGAAAUUUUUAUAAGGAGGGGAGAAUUGUCACAUCCCGACCCUUAUAUUUUUACCUUAUUUACUAGCGUGAUUAUAAUAAGAAUUUUACCGUCUCGAUCAUUGAGUAAAUAGUUUAAUUGGUCCCUAGAGGGGUUUCGGGGACGAUUAUGUGCGGAGGAUUAUUCGUAUGAGGAAAAUACAACGACGGUAAAAAUAGUAAAUUUUAGCUAGAAAAAGGUAAUUUUUAUUCGGGUAUUAUUUUUCGGGGUGUUUUUAUUUUGGAAGUUUGGGUUAUAAAUGGUGUGGACCGGUUUGGGGUGUGAGGCCCAAACCCUUUUUCUUUUCUCUCUCCCUCCCUCCCGAUUUUUUCUUCUCUUCCCACCCGAGUUUUUUCUCUCUACACCCAGCAGACUUCCGGCCGUCCUCCCGCCGCCGUCCGACCUCCGUUCGCCGCCGGACCGGUCCCGUUCGGUCGGUCUCCCUCCCAGCUUCCAUUCUAGACCGGUGAGAGGAGCCCUAGCGCCGCCGUGAGUGAGCGGUGCCGCCCGAAAGCUUUGACUGCCGAAUUGGUUUUCUCGCCGGAACUUCCUCCUCCGGCCACCAAUCCGGGCAAGCUUGGUAUGGUUUUGUAGCCCUCCAACCCAGCAACCUUGCCCUAAAAGGACUCACUCCCUCUUGAGCUAGGUAAGGAGAAAUUUGAGGUGGAAGUUUUAUGGUGUUUUUGAUGUUUUUAGUCGAUUGCCCUAGUUAGGCUUGGAAUUGGUGUUUGUGCUAGUUAUGAAAGUUGUAGAGCUUGAUGAGAGGAAGAUGCUGUUAAAAUUUCAUAGGUUUUGGAGGUCGCCGGAAUUGACCUCCGGCCGCCGCUGCCGGCAGAGCCGCCGGCGGCGCCGCCGCCGGUUGGGAGAUUUUAAUGUUGUUAAAUUUGGAAUAUUAAGGGGAGUUUAUUGAAGUGAUUUAUGGAAUUUUUGGAUGAGUUUUGGAUAGGUUUAUGAAUUUCCGAAGUGUGGUAUUUUUGGCGGGUAAUUAAUGUAGAAUCCGGCCGUUGGAUUUAAGUCGUAUUUUGGAGAGGUUGUAUUUACGACUGUUGAGUAUGAUAUUUAAGUUCGGAUCGUCCGAUGUAAGAAUAUCGAAGUUAGGCAAUAAUGAGCGUAAUUAUGGCUCUCGGGUAAUUUUGCCUAUUUUGAUUAAAUAUUGGAUAUUGUUGGGAAUUAAU
rnacentral:lncRNA from 1 species